rnacentral:rRNA from 1 species
CCUACGGGGGGCAGCAGUGAGGAAUAUUGGUCAAUGGACGAGAGUCUGAACCAGCCAAGUAGCGUGAAGGAUGACUGCCCUAUGGGUUGUAAACUUCUUUUAUAUGGGAAUAAAAUGUUCCACGUGUGGGAUUUUGUAUGUACCAUAUGAAUAAGGAUCGGCUAACUCCGUGCCAGCAGCCGCGGUAAUACGGAAGAUCCGAGCGUUAUCCGGAUUUAUUGGGUUUAAAGGGAGCGUAGGUGGAUUGUUAAGUCAGUUGUGAAAGUUUGGGGCUCAACCGUAGAAUUGCAGUUGAAACUGGCAGUCUUGAGUACAGUAGAGGUAGGCGGAAUUCGUGGUGUAGCGGUGAAAUGCUUAGAUAUCACGAAGAACUCCGAUUGCGAAGGCAGUUCACUGGACUGCAACUGACACUGAGGCUCGAAGGUGUGGGUAUCAAACAGGAUUAGAUACCCGAGUAGUC